rnacentral:lncRNA from 1 species
CCGUGAGUGGCCUGAUGUGUCCCCUGGGACAUCAGGACUUAAUGCUGUAUGUUGUCCACGCGUGAAUGGUGGAGCCAGAGGUGACAACAUUUACGUGGGAAGCCAAGUCUCUGCAGCAGCUUCCAGCACUGACCAGGGCAUCCACACUUGUGUACAACCCGGUAGAAGCAUCAACCGUAUUUUUGAGGAUAACCAUGAGGAACCCAUUUCCCCAGGGAUAGAAAUCAGCAAAGAGAUUGGGCAAAAAAAAGACUCACUUGAAGGGCUGCCCCAGUCUCCACGUCAAGGUCAAAAGUCAAGGAGGAUUUAGUUACAAUACCCAGAAAGGCACCUACCUCCCAGGAGAAGGCUUCUGUAAUCAUGUGAGAAAGUAAGAGCAGAAAGAAACAAAUUUGUUUAAAUUAGAUGCUGAUACAAGCCCCACAGAGGCUCUCGCGAUUUGCCAUUUAAAACAGAAAGACAAAAAAAAAAAAANAAAAAAUUAAAAAAACAAAAACAAAAACAGAAAGAAGGAAGAGGGCGGGCUGUGCCGACUUCCUUCAAGACUCAGCAAGCUGGACUGAGGCAGAAAUCGCCCAUAAGGCCUUCUGGUCUCCGAUGUCAGGGAACACACGUGUGGGUCCUGACUCUCAGCCUUGUCUGACCCUCACUGCACGUGGAAAGCAGCCCGGCGUCUGCUGGUGCGCAGGUGCUGAGCAGGUCUCAGCCUCCGUGGACUCACUGGUAACACAGACAAGGCCUGUAAGAACCGGGCUUGUUCCAGCCCAAUCCUGGUGCCAACAGGAGCAUGGAGACUCCUCACGGGGCCACUCAGAACUCCCACUGGGUGAAGAAAACCUUCCCGAAUGUUCCACACGCCAGGAGAGGGGCCCUGCGGCUGCGUCUUCAUGUAUCAGGUUAGCUGGCAGCUCAUUUCCAGUCCUGGAAACAAAUGAUGGACACAAAUGACAUCACCGAAUACGGGUACCAGAACCAUCAGAAGUUUUCUGCAUUACAUUGAAUCUGGCUUGAAGCCUUUGAGAUAUGAGAUCUGCCCAAUAUCCGUCAUCAUGAGGGACCCACAGGUAGAGAUCAGGGCAGGUGAGCUCAUGAACUUAGAGAAAAGACAUCUAGCUGCCAAGGCAGCGUUGUAAAUCCAGCUACUCAUUGCUCAAGCACAAGCCUUCCUUCAAGACCGGCAACUCCUCUCUCCUCACAGCCCGCAAAGAGGCAGGAUUGUUCUGCUGCAGCUCCAGUAUGUCUGCUUUUGAGACCCUCUCCACCAGAAUCCUCGGGGUACCCUGGCAUGUCCUCAUCUAGACAACUGGAUAAUGCGCAAACAUCAUGUUCUGCCAAGAGUUUAGAAGUAGACGGGGGUUAGAGAUGUCUCUCCACCUUGCUACCAAGUCAGGUCCCUUUGGGGACAGGAAGUGAAGAGCUAUUAGUGUUUACAACUGG